CAGGCCUAACACAUGCAAGUCGAACGCUCUUGGGGCUUCGGUUUCAAGGGAGUGGCGCACGGGUGAGUAGCGCGUGGGAACCUGCCCUGUUGUGGGGGAUAACCGAGGGAAACUUCGGCUAAUACCGCAUACGCCCGGCGGACCUCGAAAGGGGGAAACCGGGGAAAGAUUUAUCGCAGCAGGAGGGGCCCGCGUCGGAUUAGCUAGUUGGUGGGGUAACGGCCUACCAAGGCUUUGAUCCGUAGCUGGUCUGAGAGGAUGAUCAGCCACACUGGGACUGAGACACGGCCCAGACUCCUACGGGAGGCAGCAGUGGGGAAUAUUGGACAAUGGGCGCAAGCCUGAUCCAGCAAUGCCGCGUGAGUGAUGAAGGCCUUCGGGUUGUAAAGCUCUUUCGCCUGCGAGGAUGAUGACGGUAGCAGGAGAAGAAGCCCCGGCUAACUUCGUGCCAGCAGCCGCGGUAAUAC
rnacentral:rRNA from 1 species